rnacentral:lncRNA from 1 species
AACAACAACAAAAUGUUAUAGAAUAAUAACGCAGUACUUCAUCCAAAAUGAGUAGACGAAUCUCACUCUUCUUCUUCGCCGUCUUUCUCCUCUUGGCCACUUCAUCCUGUAAGUCUUUCUUUACAGAAUGUUCGAUUUCGAAGGCUUCGUUUUAACCUUCCUUUUCUCUUUUGUUUUGUUAGCUCGUGUCGAGUUUGAGUCUAUCCGAAUUUAAGGGGCUAAUUAUUAUUGACGAGUUAAAUUUAACCUUCAUUCGAAUUUCGCUUAUUGAAAUCCAUGAUGAGAGGCAAAUCCCAAACUAAAUACCCUGAUUUUAUCUUUCUCUUUGUCCAUCUUCUCUCCAUCUUUAACUGCAGCGGUCAUUUGAAUGCACAAAGAGUGAGAUAGGUUAUUGACAAGUCAAAUUCGAGUUUUAUUCUACUCGAAUUUCAAUCGUUAAAAUCUCAGUAUUUUUAUCAGAAUAGAUUGCGGUUAAUAUACGAUAGAAGAUAAGAAAAUAAACAUUGAUGUCUAUUUCAUGGAGUAUAUCGUAUUCAAACCCAAGACCUCCGGGUUGUUAGAUAAUGGAAUGGUAUAAUAUACAUUAUUAACCCUCUCCUAAUAACUCUAGUUAUUGGGAUGCAACAGUUUUUAUCAGAGCAUUUGGACCGAACGAUCGUGUGUUCGAAUCUCCACGACCUUCAAUAUUAAUCGUUGAUGCACAAAGUAUGAUGGGUCUGUGUAAACUUCAAACCCGUGAAUUGGCUUUCGUUUGAAGGGGGUGUUAGAAAAUGGAAUGGUAUAAGAUCCAUCAUGAACCCUCUUCCAACAACUCAAAUUAUUGAGAUGCAACAAUUCUUAACACGAACAAUCAGACACAUGCUCUACCAUUAGACUAACUCCUCGAUUGUAAUUUCUUUCAUGUUUUCAAAAAAAUGGGUUUUAUUUUUGGCAGGUGGUAGGAACCUGCAGGAAGCGAAGAACAAGGUGGUACCGAAUGAGUUCAUACCGAGUUUAUAUUAUUGCACAGAGCAAGAGUGUAAAUCAUUGAACUGUUCUAACGUUUUCAUCGAGAACAAUAGGUGUAUGUGUGCCUUUAAAAUAGGGCUUCAGUUAACUUUGCCUUGUAACCCUAGAUAUUAAUCAUGGGUCCAAAGUGUAAACAAGCCUGCGGUAUCAGGUUUCUUUCUUUCAAUAAAUAAAAUAAACUUCGGGCGUG